UACAGAGGUCCCAGGCGUUGUUCGGAUUCAUUGGGCGUAAAGGGCGCGUAGGCGGCCAAUCAAGUCCGACGUGAAAUUCCCCGGCUCAACCGGGGGCCUGCGUCGGAUACUGCUUGGCUUGAGUCCCGGAGAGGGUAGUGGAAUUCCCAGUGUAGCGGUGAAAUGCGUAGAUACUGGGAGGAACACCGGUGGCGAAGGCGGCUACCUGGACGGGUACUGACGCUGAGGCGCGAAAGCUAGGGGAGCAAACAGG
rnacentral:rRNA from 1 species